rnacentral:rRNA from 1 species
UACGUAGGGUGCAAGCGUUGUCCGGAAUUAUUGGGCGUAAAGAGCUCGUAGGCGGUUCGUCGCGUCGGCUGUGAAAACCUGAGGCUCAACCUCAGGCCUGCAGUGGGUACGGGCAGACUAGAGUGCGGUAGGGGAGAUUGGAAUUCCUGGUGUAGCGGUGGAAUGCGCAGAUAUCAGGAGGAACACCGGUGGCGAAGGCAGGUCUCUGGGCCGCAACUGACGCUGAGGAGCGAAAGCAUGGGGAGCGAACAGG